rnacentral:rRNA from 1 species
ACACAUGCAAGUCGAACGAUGAAGCCUUUCGGGGUGGAUUAGUGGCGAACGGGUGAGUAACACGUGGGCAAUCUGCCCUUCACUCUGGGACAAGCCCUGGAAACGGGGUCUAAUACCGGAUAACACUCUGUCCUGCAUGGGACGGGGUUAAAAGCUCCGGCGGUGAAGGAUGAGCCCGCGGCCUAUCAGCUUGUUGGUGGGGUAAUGGCCUACCAAGGCGACGACGGGUAGCCGGCCUGAGAGGGCGACCGGCCACACUGGGACUGAGACACGGCCCAGACUCCUACGGGAGGCAGCAGUGGGGAAUAUUGCACAAUGGGCGAAAGCCUGAUGCAGCGACGCCGCGUGAGGGAUGACGGCCUUCGGGUUGUAAACCUCUUUCAGCAGGGAAGAAGCGAAAGUGACGGUACCUGCAGAAGAAGCGCCGGCUAACUACGUGCCAGCAGCCGCGGUAAUACGUAGGGCGCAAGCGUUGUCCGGAAUUAUUGGGCGUAAAGAGCUCGUAGGCGGCUUGUCACGUCGGAUGUGAAAGCCCGGGGCUUAACCCCGGGUCUGCAUUCGAUACGGGCUAGCUAGAGUGUGGUAGGGGAGAUCGGAAUUCCUGGUGUAGCGGUGAAAUGCGCAGAUAUCAGGAGGAACACCGGUGGCGAAGGCGGAUCUCUGGGCCAUUACUGACGCUGAGGAGCGAAAGCGUGGGGAGCGAACAGGAUUAGAUACCCUGGUAGUCCACGCCGUAAACGUUGGGAACUAGGUGUUGGCGA